rnacentral:lncRNA from 1 species
CUGCAUAUUCUUUUUAUUACUCAUCAUUUUGCAUAUGUCUAUCCAGUUCCAUUUCUCCAGUCCCUAAACAAGUCUCAGUCUUUCCUUAUGGGCAAGAAGCUAAAAUUUUCCAUGCAAUCUCUCCUGCAGACUCAGCCCUGAGGAUCCAAGUUGCUGCUUGAUUGAAACAUGGAAUUUACAGCGCUGUAUUGGAGCGUCGCUGGAGCACGGGAGGGGACAAGCAGGGGGUGGAUUUCCUUCAUUAAAAAAGGAACAUUGUCU